rnacentral:lncRNA from 1 species
CCUGCUUUUGUCCCUUGAAAACAUUUGAAUGCACUAGAUUAUGACGAGAUGAGAAGAUGAGUACUCCUAUAAUUUUAGUGUGUUGAGAGAUAGUUCAUUGAUUCUAUGGGAUAUACAUGCUGUUAAAAAAAAUUAAAAAAAAAUGAAAAAAAAUGGAGUUCUACAAAUAAAAGGCCUAUUGUGUAUACAUUCAUUCAUGUUUAUGCCCUAUAUGUAUAUGUUAGAGUUGAUGCAUACGUUUUGAGGAUUGUGGAUAUGUUGAGGAGUUACUCUAGAGUUUUAUUGAUGGAAGGUCUGGUGUGUUGCAUGUUUUCAAUCAUAUAUUGAGCCUCUUUGAUCCCCUUUUUCUUGUUUUAUCCCACCUAUACGUACCAUAGCCCCAUUACAACCAAAGUGCAAGACCUUUUGAUUUGUGCAUUGGUUCCAUAUUUUGGUGGAGAUAGUGACAUAACGGCAAGCUGUGUUUGAAGGCAUGAAGUUGUGAAUUGUGUGAAUCUAUUCUGUCCAUAUUUGUCUUUUGAGAGAAAUUGAGUGAACUUGGUGAGGCAGGAUUGAAUUUGCACAAUUUUGACUUGAAUGAAGAACAUGGCAUAAUUUUCUGAGCAAGAGCAUGGUUAGUGGUUUGUGGAUGAUUGUAUCUUGAUCAAGACUUUGAGUAUUAUCUAUCAUAUUGUUGCCAAAGCUUUGUUUUUGUUGUUUUGAAUCUUCUUUUGUUCCUUCCCUGUCGUUUUGUUCUUUUUGGUGCUCGAGGGCGAGCUUUGUUUAAGUGUGGGGGGAUUUGAUUGGGCGUAUUUAUACGCAUUUAUUUGGGGGAUUUUGGUGUGGUUUCUAUGUUUAAUUCGUG